GACGAACGCUGGCGGCGUGCUUAACACAUGCAAGUCGAACGGAAAGGCCCUGCUUUUGUGGGGUGCUCGAGUGGCGAACGGGGGAGUAACACGUGAGUAACCUGCCCUUGACUUUGGGAUAACUUCAGGAAACUGGGGCUAAUACCGGAUAGGAGCUCCUGCUGCAUGGUGGGGGUUGGAAAGUUUCGGCGGUUGGGAAUGGACUCGCGGCUUAUCAGCUUGUUGGUGGGGUAGUGGCUUACCAAGGCUUUGACGGGUAGCCGGCCUGAGAGGGUGACCGGCCACAUUGGGACUGAGGGACGGCCCAGAAUCCUACGGGAGGCAGCAGUGGGGAAUAUUGCACAGUGGGCGGAAGCCUGAUGCAGCAACGCCGGGUGCGGGAUGACGGCCUUCGGGUUGUAAACCGCUUUCGCCUGUGACGAAGCGUGAGUGACGGUAAUGGGUAAAGAAGCACCGGCUAACUACGUG
rnacentral:rRNA from 1 species